GCGUUGUCCGGAAUCACUGGGCGUAAAGGGCGCGUAGGUGGUGGCUUAAGCGUGCGGUGAAAGCUCGGGGCUCAACCCCGAGUCGGCCGUGCGAACUGGGCGCACUGGAGCAUAGUAGAGGCAGGUGGAAUUCCGGGUGUAGCGGUGGAAUGCGUAGAGAUCCGGAAGAACACCGGUGGCGAAGGCGGCCUGCUGGGCUAUGGCUGACACUGAGGCGCGACAGCGU
rnacentral:rRNA from 1 species